GCAUAGCUUAGUCAAUACAGCAUGAGACUCUAAUCUCAAGGUUGUGGGUUCGAGCCCCACGUUGGGUA